GACGAACGCUGGCGGCGUGCUUAACACAUGCAAGUCGAACGGUGAAGCGCCUUCCUUUUUGGUGGGUGUGGAUGAGUGGCGAACGGGUGAGUAGCACGUGAGUAACCUGCCCCCUUCUUCUGGAUAACCGCAUGAAAGUGUGGCUAAUACGGGAUAUUCUGGGUCUGUCGCAUGAUGGGUCUGGGAAAGAUAUUGUUUCGGUGGGGGAUGGGCUCGCGGCCUAUCAGCUUGUUGGUGGGGUGAUGGCCUACCAAGGCGGUGACGGGUAGCCGGCCUGAGAGGGUGGACGGUCACACUGGGACUGAGACACGGCCCAGACUCCUACGGGAGGCAGCAGUGGGGAAUAUUGCACAAUGGGCGCAAGCCUGAUGCAGCGACGCCGCGUGAGGGAUGGAGGCCGUCGGGUUGUGAACCUCUUUCGCCAGUGAAGCAGGCCUGCCUCGUUUGUGGGUGGGUUGACGGUAGCUGGAUAAGAAGCGCCGGCUAACUACGUG
rnacentral:rRNA from 1 species